AGGUGCCGGAACCGCGGCGGCGGAGCCCCGCGCGCCUGGACUUGGCGACUCCGGCUGCUGCGCGCGGUGUCUGCGCUCCCUCCCGGGGCUCCGAGUGCGUGCGCGGGGCUGUGCGAGCCUGACUUGACCUUCUCCUCCUCGGCGGUCCCUCUGGCCGGGUCAGCCGGGGAGGGGGUGGCGGGACCCCCGAGGGCCAGUCGGUGCCGGGCGCCCAGGAGGGCGAGGGGCGUGUGAGAAUCUAGGAACCGAGCUCGGCGAGGCCAGGGCUGAGUCCAGAAGAGGGCGGACCUUGCCUGGGCUUAUAGCAGAAGGGGGCCUGUCACAUGGUGUUGCACGUCAGAGCGCGGCCCGGGGAAAAGGGAAAGAAAGGCGAGAGAAUCGGCGUGCGGGAGGAGAAAGUUCACCCGCAGGAGGGGCAGCAGCGAGAGUUGGACACCGAACCCCGCUAUUUUUUUUUUUUUUUUUUUUUUUUUUGCCAAGGUCUCGGAUAUCCUGUAUCACGCCCUAGCCAGCGGCCAUCCGGACCUGGAGGCUGCACGAGUUCGAGCCCCCAGUCUGCUUCUCCGGAUUUAGCCCUCAGCCCUAACAUCAGAAGCGCUCCGGGGACACUUCGCUGGGUCCACUCGGUGGCCUAUGGGAGCCGUCCCGCUGGGGGACAACUACUCUGUGUGUGAGGUGGUCCCUGCAAUACUGAGCGGGGGGAGCCUGGUGGGGCGUCCCAGCUCCCCUGGAUUGGGCCAGCCUCUGCCUGUGGAAUCUGAUGAGAAAUCUCCCCCCAUUUUAAGCACGGGUCCGGGAAAUGAGAGUUCGCGUUCCGUUUGUCCCCAGAGGUUUAGUCAAAGGGCGCUCGCUUCCCUGGACGUGUUUGAAAAAUGUGUUAUUUCCAUUCGGGGAAAUGUGGAGAUUUGCCAGAGAUCAGAGCGCCACAACCCACUGGGAUCGCCGUAGGACAGGAACAGAGAUUUGGGAUGUGAGCUCUCAGCUACCGCUCCAGCACCAUGCCUGCCUGCUGCUGCCAUGCUCCCCACCAUGACGUUGAUGGACUCUAAUCCCAAUAAACUAGGACCCAAGUUCGGUUCCUAGUACCUCUAUGGUGGUUUGAAACUGUAACUCCAGUCCCAGGGAACAGGUGCCCUCAUCUGACCUCCUCCAACACCAGAAAAAUGUGUAUGGGUGUUUAGCCGGUGCACCACAUGCAUGUGCCUGGUGCCCUGGAAGCCAGAAGAGGACAGACAACUAGAGUCACAGGCAGAGCUGCUGUGUGGAUGCUGGGACUCACCCGUGGUUCGAGCUGAGACGAUUGUUACAGCUGUCACCCACCCAGCUUGCAGCAAGCAGGGCUGAAGAAAGCUCUCCCUCUGCUCCUAAACCUACACUGAUGCCCACCCAGCAGUCAUGCUUUCCCUGUGUAGAUACGGCGGUCAGGCGGCUAGACCAGCCAGCACUUACACUGUUGCCGGGAGACCCGGUGUAAUUAGGAAGGAGAAAUGAGGAGGAGAAAGAACAUCCCAUCUUUCCAGGUCUCUGGCUGACUGUCCUCUGCAUCUAGCCAAGGUGGUUUUUCAGGUUUUCUUAAAACUUGUCUGGGAAUGGUGCUGCAGGACUGCAAUCCCAGCACUGGAUGGGGGAGACGAGCACCUGAGGCUGGAGGAUAGCUCAUUGUGCGGACAUCGCUGCCUCCUGGACAAAGCUGGACGCCCCAGGGUGGACACGGGGCAGACAGACUUAACCACAGCUCUGCGGGGAGCCUUUCCCCGGGACGACGGGCUGUGUCCGCGGCUCUCCGGUGCUGCUGCUGCUGCUCCCGGGCCGCCCCGAAACGCAAAGAAAGGACGAGGCGCCCACCGAACCCGCACCCUCGCCGCGGGGCGGAGCGGGGGAGGGAGGG